rnacentral:tRNA from 1 species
GCCUGGAUGGUGGAACUGGUAGACACGCUAGACUCAAAAUCUGGUUUCUGCAAGGAAGUGGGGGUUCGAGUCCCCCUCCAGGCA